CGGGCGCCACCGAGCAGCCCAAAUUGAAACCCCGAGAGGCUCGGGACUAAAGCUGAAGGGGCAGGUAGAGGGGCCGCCCGGCGGUCCCAGACCAUCCUAGCAAAUCUGGGGCGAGGGAAGGGUUGUCAGUUGGCCGAUUGGGAGCGGCUUCGGGAGCGAAGGAGCUGCUUUUCGGCGAGGCCCCUCGGGAGUGAAGGUUCCUCGAAUCAAGCGUAAACUGGGGCCCCCUCUGGGAUGGUGUAAACUUAUUCAGCUUCAAAUGCAGCCCAGUAUCCUGCCCUAAGUUCCAGAGGACCAUUUUCCACAUGAAAAGUCUUACGGAUAGACAAACUUCCAUUCAAGCCAAUGUCAAGUUUUCAUUGCAAGAAAGUAGCAGCCGUGUUUAAGGUAUGGAUGGAUAUGGUAAGAAAUGGAGUUGACUACUCUUAUUCUCCUGCGCCAUGUGGUCCUUGAAGAUGUAGAAAACACGGGAAGCCGAGUAAAGAUCAGAGCAAGCUCAUUAGCAUUCUGACAAAAUUGGAGUGGUGGAGAUGUAUAGUUUGCCUAGUUUGUCGUUUUGAAAGCUACCGGUGGUUCCCCAUUAUGAUAUUGAACAGAAGUGAUAGUGGACUUUCCUGUCUUUUAAUCUGUCACAAAUGGAAAGCUUUCAAUAUUUCACAAUUAAGUAUGUUUGCUAUAGGCUUUUUAUAUGUACAUUUUAGCACAUUAAUAAAGUAAUAAAGUUCCUUUCUAUCCCUA
rnacentral:lncRNA from 1 species